CGGGCAUGUUGUAAAGGUGUU
rnacentral:piRNA from 1 species